rnacentral:rRNA from 1 species
GACGAACGCUGGCGGCGUGCCUAAUACAUGCAAGUCGAACGCAGUGGGGACGAGUGAGUAACACGUGGGUAACCUCCCCAUCAGAGGGGAUAACACUUGGCAACAGGUGCUAAACCGAUACUGAUGGAUGUACCCGCGGUGCAUUAGCUAGUUGGUGGGGUAACGGCUCACCAAGGCCACGAUGCCUAGCCGGUCUGAGAGGGUGAUCAGCCACACUGGGACUGAGACACGGCCCAGACUCCUACGGGAGGCAGCAGUGGGGAAUAUUGGACAAUGGGCGAAAGCCUGAUGCAGCCAUGCCGCGGGUAUGAUGAAGGCCUUCGGGUUGUAAAGUACUUUCGGUAGGGAGGCGGUAUCGGCAGAAGAAGCACCGGCUAACUCCGUGCCAGCAGCCGCGGUAAUAC